CAAUUAAAAUUAGACAACUGAAUGACCACACGAACUGAAAACACUGAAGAAAAUGGAAUGACUAGACCAGCAAGUUUUUCAUUGGCCACAGCACAGAAACCACUAUCCAUGUUCAAUUGUCAGAAUCAUCACUUUGCUCUCAGGAAUUCCUGCUCUCAAGGGACUGAGACACUGCAAUCGCUAUUUACUGUAACGAGAGGAAGAUGCGUAGCGUGGGAAGAUUUGCCAUACGAUGGGAACUGUGAAUCAAGGUUAAUUACCUAUGAGUGAUGAAAAUACUGUUGGAAAAAUACAUGCUGAUGAGCAGAAGGCACUGUUCUGUAUGCUUCUGCGCCUGACAGGAAAGCUGCAUGGAAGUCACACUACUCAGCUUCAGUCUGCUCCCACUGAUCCUACAAAGUGGAGCUGUGCUGGAACGGGACCCCAGGUGACUGUGUCACACCUGGCACUUAAGACAUUAUUAUGUUUAUAGCGAGCAGGUCUCUAAUGGCGUGGAAGCCUCCCAGUAUUUUGAAAGCCACAG